rnacentral:rRNA from 1 species
GGGGGGGGGGGGGGGGGGGGUGGGGGGGGGGGGGGGGGGGGGGGGGGGGCGGCUGGGGUGGGGUGGUCGAGUGGCGGACGGGUGGGUAACACGUGGGUAGCCUGGCCUUGACUUUGGGAUAACUUCAGGAGACUGGGGCUAAUACCGGGUAGUAGCUCCUGCUGCAUGGUGGGGGUUGGAAGGUUUCGGCGGUUGGGGAUGGACUCGCGGCUUAUCAGCUUGUUGGUGGGGUAGUGGCUUACCAAGGCUUUGACGGGUAGCCGGCCUGAGAGGGUGACCGGCCACAUUGGGACUGAGAUACGGCCCAGACUCCUACGGGAGGCAGCAGUGGGGAAUAUUGCACAAUGGGCGGAAGCCUGAUGCAGCAACGCCGCGUGCGGGAUGACGGCCUUCGGGUUGUAAACCGCUUUCGCCUGUGACGAAGCGUGAGUGACGGUAAUGGGUAAAGAAGCACCGGCUAACUACGUG